UACGGAGGGUCCAAGCGUUAUCCGGAAUCAUUGGGUUUAAAGGGCCCGUAGGCGGUUUUGUAAGUCAGUGGUGAAAGCCCAUCGCUCAACGGUGGAACGGCCAUUGAUACUGCAAGACUUGAAUUAUUGGGAAGUAACUAGAAUAUGUAGUGUAGCGGUGAAAUGACUUAGAUAUUACAUGGAAUACCAAUUGCGAAGGCAGGUUACUACCCAAUACAUUGACGCUGAUGGACGAAAGCGAUGGGGAGCGUACG
rnacentral:rRNA from 1 species